rnacentral:rRNA from 1 species
ACGUGAUCUGAGUUCAGACCGGAGUAAUCCAGGUCAGUUUCUAUCUAUAAAGAGCUUCUUCUAGUACGAAAGGACCGAAAAAGCAUGGCCAAUACCUAAUGCAAGCCAUCUAUAAUAAUUUAUGAUUACAACUUAAUAAACAAUUUAUCUUUUAAGUCCCUCAAGAAAAGAGA